rnacentral:rRNA from 1 species
AGUGAACGCUGGCGGUAGGCCUAACACAUGCAAGUCGAACGGCAGCACAGUAAGAGCUUGCUCUUACGGGUGGCGAGUGGCGGACGGGUGAGGAAUACAUCGGAAUCUACUUUUUCGUGGGGGAUAACGUAGGGAAACUUACGCUAAUACCGCAUACGACCUACGGGUGAAGGCAGGGGAUCUUCGGACCUUGCGCGAUUGAAUGAGCCGAUGUCGGAUUAGCUAGUUGGCGGGGUAAAGGCCCACCAAGGCGACGAUCCGUAGCUGGUCUGAGAGGAUGAUCAGCCACACUGGAACUGAGACACGGUCCAGACUCCUACGGGAGGCAGCAGGGGGGAAUAUUGGACAAUGGGCGCAAGCCUGAUCCAGCCAUACCGCGUGGGUGAAGAAGGCCUUCGGGUUGUAAAGCCCUUUUGUUGGGAAAGAAAAGCAGCAGGUUAAUACCCCGCUGUUCUGACGGUACCCAAAGAAUAAGCACCGGCUAACUUCGUG